rnacentral:rRNA from 1 species
AUGUUCACGAAUACAAAGCUUAAGCCUUCCGAAGUUAUUCCAGAGGUAUUAAUUUCUACUGCCCAAGUGGAUAUUGGUCCUUUUGGAAGACAAUUUCAGUUUGGCCAUCCUCACACCAUUGAGUCUUGUUGUCCAAAUUUGUUAUUUUCAUUCUCCUGCUCCUUCCCCACUGAUUCUCUUCUCUGCACUCUACGGUUGCAAAUUGGCUACAAGGCUUUCACUUCAAUAAGGUGGAGAAAAGAUAAGCAAGACAAUGCCCUUUCUGAGCAUACCAAAUUCCUGGGAGAUCUUGAGGGCAUGGGGCUCGAUAUAGGCUUGGAAAUUGAUUGGGCGAGGAUUCGGCCUGAAAAAUAUCACACUCAGGCUAAAAAUUAUCAGUUGUCAAACACUUUGUACAUACUGGAGUUGCAGGCAAAAGAAGCCAACCAGCGUGAAUGCCGUUUGGUUCGAAAUAUUAUUGCCUUGAAAAUGUCGGAGUGCUCUGUAGUUUGUGAUCAACCAAAACGCUCGGAGUUUUUGAAAGACCAAAAAUGA